AGUCUGCAACUCGACUGCGUGAAGCUGGAAUCGCUAGUAAUCGCGGAUCAGCAUGCCGCGGUGAAUACGUUCCCGGGCCUUGUACACACCGCCCGUCACACCACGAGAGUUUGUAACACCCGAAGUCGGUGAGGUAACCUUUUAGGAGCCAGCCGCCGAAGGUGGGACAGAGGAUUGGGGUGAAGUCGUAACAAGGUAGCCGUAUCGGAAGGUGCGGCUGGAUCACCUCCUUUCUAAGGA
rnacentral:rRNA from 1 species